UGCUUACACAUGCAAGUCGAACGGUGAAGCCCAGCUUGCUGGGUGGAUCAGUGGCGAACGGGUGAGUAACACGUGAGUAACCUGCCCCUGACUCUGGGAUAAGCCUUGGAAACGAGGUCUAAUACCGGAUACGUGACGCUCAGGCAUCUGAUGCGUCUGGAAAGAUUUAUCGGUCAGGGAUGGACUCGCGGCCUAUCAGCUUGUUGGUGGGGUAACGGCCCACCAAGGCGACGACGGGUAGCCGGCCUGAGAGGGCGACCGGCCACACUGGGACUGAGACACGGCCCAGACUCCUACGGGAGGCAGCAGUGGGGAAUAUUGCACAAUGGGCGCAAGCCUGAUGCAGCGACGCCGCGUGAGGGAUGAAGGCCUUCGGGUUGUAAACCUCUUUCAGCAGGGAAGAAGCGCAAGUGACGGUACCUGCAGAAGAAGCGCCGGCUAACUACGUGCCAGCAGCCGCGGUAAUACGUAGGGCGCAAGCGUUGUCCGGAAUUAUUGGGCGUAAAGAGCUCGUAGGCGGUCUGUCGCGUCUGCUGUGAAAACUCGAGGCUCAACCUCGGGCUUGCAGUGGGUACGGGCAGACUAGAGUGCGGUAGGGGAGACUGGAAUUCCUGGUGUAGCGGUGGAAUGCGCAGAUAUCAGGAGGAACACCGAUGGCGAAGGCAGGUCUCUGGGCCGCAACUGACGCUGAGGAGCGAAAGCAUGGGGAGCGAACAGGAUUAGAUACCCUGGUAGUCCAUGCCGUAAACGUUGGGCACUAGGUGUGGGGCUCAUUCCACGAGUUCCGUGCCGCAGCAAACGCAUUAAGUGCCCCGCCUGGGGAGUACGGCCGCAAGGCUAAAACUCAAAGAAAUUGACGGGGGCCCGCACAAGCGGCGGAGCAUGCGGAUUAAUUCGAUGCAACGCGAAGAACCUUACCAAGGCUUGACAUACACCGGAAACUUCCAGAGA
rnacentral:rRNA from 1 species